rnacentral:rRNA from 1 species
GUGUCAGCCGCCGCGGUAAUACGGAGGAUGCAAGCGUUAUCCGGAAUUAUUGGGCGUAAAGCGUCCGUAGGUGGCUAUUCAAGUCAGAUGUUAAAGCGUGGGGCUUAACUCCAUAAAGGCAUCUGAAACUGAUUGGCUAGAGUGCGAUAGGGGCAAGGGGAAUUUCCAGUGUAGCGGUGAAAUGCGUAGAUAUUGGAAAGAACACCGGUGGCGAAAGCGCCUUGCUGGGUCUGCACUGACACUGAGGGACGAAAGCUAGGGGAGCGAAAGGGAUUAGAUACCCCUGUAGUCC